rnacentral:rRNA from 1 species
AACGAACGCUGGCGGCAGGCCUAACACAUGCAAGUCGAGCGCUCUCUUCGGAGAGAGCGGCGGACGGGUGAGUAACGCGUGGGAACGUGCCCUUCUCUGCGGAAUAGCCACUGGAAACGGUGAGUAAUACCGCAUGCGCCCUACCGGGGGAAAGAUUUAUCGGAGAAGGAUCGGCCCGCGUCUGAUUAGGUAGUUGGUGGGGUAACGGCCUACCAAGCCUACGAUCAGUAGCUGGUUUGAGAGGAUGAUCAGCCACACUGGGACUGAGACACGGCCCAGACUCCUACGGGAGGCAGCAGUGGGGAAUCUUGGACAAUGGGGGCAACCCUGAUCCAGCCAUGCCGCGUGAACGAUGAAGGCCUUAGGGUUGUAAAGUUCUUUCAGCAGGGACGAUAAUGACGGUACCUGCAGAAGAAGCCCCGGCU